rnacentral:rRNA from 1 species
CGGACGGGUGAGUAACACGUGGGCAAUCUACCUUUCGGUGAGGAAUACCGGCGAGAAAUCGCCGACAAUACCGCAUAUGUUUCGGCAACGAAACAAAGUCGCAAGACGCCGGAGGAGGAGCCUGCGCCCGAUUAGCUAGUUGGUGGAGUAAUGGUCUACCAAGGCGACGAUCGGUAGCUGGUCUGAGAGGAUGAUCAGCCACACUGGGAUUGAGAACGGCCCAG